GUGAAUUAAAUAUUUUAUUAGUAAAAGGAAAGUCUAGUGAUUUAACUAUAACGCUACCACAUCGUAAUGUUACUGCUCGCAUCGCAUCCAUACUUGCUUUUGACAGGUAUAGGUUAAGUGUGUAAAAUUUCAGAAUGUAGUGUUCGUACGCUUUCAUUUAUAAAAAAGUGAAUAUUUUUGGAUAGUUGGAUCAGAUAUAUCUCAUUUAUAUUAGAAAAUUAGAAAAAAAUAAAACAUCACAAAAGUAAUUUAUGCUACGUGUAAAAACAGAACAAAACAUCGCAAUACAUAUGUUUAUAAGAAAUGUGUGUAUUCUAUAAUGUUUAUUAUAAGAUAUGUAUGUAUAUUCUAUAGAUUCAACUAUCCAAAAAUAUCAGGAAGAUUUUGCAUACUUUUUUAUAAAUGGAAGAGUGCUACGCUAUAUAAUGUUGCACUCUAGAAAAUUUAACGUUAAAUACUUGUCAAAAACCAGUAUGAAUAACUGCGAACAGUAUUAUAGGCAUACGCAUAUAAGAAUCUAGUAUAUUUGAGUGCAUUUAUUAAAGAAAUGUCAUCAUAUAGUUAUUCGUCAUGCAUCAUAUGUAACUACAGAUAAGUAUAAAUGAUAUUGGUAAAACACAAUCUGUAAGGUUAAUGCAUGUCCUAUGAAUAAUUUAUAAAUAUACAUUUAUUUUUCAGUGGAAGUAGAAGAAUUUUUCAAUUCCUUAUUUCGAUGCUAAUGCAUCGCUUAAAAUAGAUGAAGCAUGUUUCAGUAUCGUUAAUAUAUAAUGUUGCACUCUGGAGAAUUUAUCUGUCCAAUGGAUAACUGCGAUCAGUAAUACAGAAGGAUAACUGCAAGUAGUAAUAUAAUAUAGACAACACAUGCAAGAAUCCAAUAUUAUGUUAUACAUGUGUUGGAGGAAACUGUUUUGCGACAUAAUCAUACAUACAAAGUUCUCCAUAACGUAUGAAAUCCAUGAAAAUUAUUCAACAGGGACUACUGCAGAGAUAAAAUAAUCUACAAAAAGUGACAGCAAAAAGAAGAAAGAUUCACUAAAACGAAAUAAAGGCUAUAAAAAGUCAAAAACAAGGAAAGACAAAGAGAUUUACAUAAAAAAGUUGGUGGUAGAAAAGGAAGAUAAAUGGAGGUAUUUGUAAUGUCUAAUGAUACAAUACUAAACUAAUAUAUAAAGUCAAAAUUAUGAAUUUAAUUACUUAAAGGAGAUCUUAUACACAUUGUAUAUUUAUAACGAAUAAAAAAGCACAUUUUAUUUAAAA